rnacentral:rRNA from 1 species
UGCAGUCGAACGGAAAGGCCCAGCUUGCUGGGUGCUCGAGUGGCGAACGGGUGAGUAACACGUGGGUGAUCUGCCUCUAACUUCGGGAUAAGCUUGGGAAACUGGGUCUAAUACCGGAUAGGACAAUCGUUUAGUGUCGGUUGUGGAAAGUUUUUUCGGUUAGGGAUGAGCCCGCGGCCUAUCAGCUUGUUGGUGGGGUAAUGGCCUACCAAGGCGUCGACGGGUAGCCGGCCUGAGAGGGUGGACGGCCACAUUGGGACUGAGAUACGGCCCAGACUCCUACGGGAGGCAGCAGUGGGGAAUAUUGCACAAUGGGCGCAAGCCUGAUGCAGCGACGCCGCGUGGGGGAUGACGGCCUUCGGGUUGUAAACCUCUUUCGACAGGGACGAAGCUUUGGUGACGGUACCUGUAUAAGAAGCACCGGCUAACUACGUGCCAGCAGCCGCGGUAAUACGUAGGGUGCGAGCGUUGUCCGGAAUUACUGGGCGUAAAGAGCUCGUAGGUGGUUUGUCGCGUCGUCUGUGAAAUUCCGGGGCUUAACUUCGGGCGUGCAGGCGAUACGGGCAUAACUUGAGUGCUGUAGGGGAGACUGGAAUUCCUGGUGUAGCGGUGGAAUGCGCAGAUAUCAGGAGGAACACCGAUGGCGAAGGCAGGUCUCUGGGCAGUAACUGACGCUGAGGAGCGAAAGCAUGGGGAGCGAAUAGGAUUAGAUACCCUGGUAGUCCAUGCCGUAAACGGUGGGCGCUAGGUGUAGGGGUCUUCCACGACUUCUGUGCCGUAGCUAACGCAUUAAGCGCCCCGCCUGGGGAGUACGGCCGCAAGGCUAAAACUCAA